GACGAACGCUGGCGGCGUGCUUAACACAUGCAAGUCGAGCGGAAAGGCCCUUCGGGGUACUCGAGCGGCGAACGGGUGAGUAACACGUGAGUAAUCUGCCCUUGGCUUUGGGAUAACUACCGGAAACGGUGGCUAAUACCGGAUACGACAACCGUCUGCAUGGGCUGGUUGUGGAAAGUUUUUUCGGCCAGGGAUGUGCUCGCGGCCUAUCAGCUUGUUGGUGGGGUAAUGGCCUACCAAGGCUUCGACGGGUAGCCGGCCUGAGAGGGUGACCGGCCACACGGGGACGGGGCACCGGCCCGGACCCCUCAGGGGGGCAGCGGUGGGGAAAUGGGGAAAAGGGGGGGAAGCCGUGCCCAGCAACGCCGGGGGGGGGAUGCCGGCCUUCGGGUUGUAAACCUUUUUCAGUCCCGACGAGGCCCCGAUGAGGGGGGGGGCGGGAGGAACAAAAAAAGCCCCGGCCAACUACGU
rnacentral:rRNA from 1 species